ACUAACAGUAAAAGGGCAUAAUACCUUUGGCGGGCUGCUGUCCAUCCUCAUUCACUCCCAAUUACACAACCAGCCUCCCCCCAAACCCUAGCACGACACCGCAGCUCUGCCCAGCGCGCCACCUCCGCUGCCCGGUGUCCUCAGCCCCGCUCAACCCAAGUUCACUAAAUAAGUGAGGAAGAAACUAUAAUCUGCAGUGACAGUGAGGAAGAAACUACUGAUGAUGAGGAUAACAAUACAGAGUUUGUCGAGUCUGAAGACAAAGUUAUCAGAUUUAUGCUCACUUGGUCGUGUUUCUUUCGGUAUUGACAAUGUUCUUGAACUUUGAUUUAGAUGUUCAAGUCUGCCACUUUGGAUCUUUCACGUGUUAAUUUGUUUGACUCAAAAGAUCCCGAAGAUGCUACUGUUAAUGAUGGAAGGAAUCUUAUGGAGGUAAAUACAAAGAAAAACACAAGAGAGAGUUUUACAUGUUGAGCUUGUGGAGUUGUAGCCAGGGGAGGUGUGUCAUCCACCAGUGGUUAUGGCUGAGAAAGUGAUAUUUUAUCUGUAUGCAAGAGGCUAUUUGAAGGCAAGAUCUUUGAAGCAUCAUCUAACUGUGGCUGCUACUGAGAAAGAUGAAAAAUAUAUAUAAAUUAAUAGAGCUGAGGGUGAGGCCGAGUCCAAAUGCCUAUCUGGUUUGGGUAUUGCACGCCAACGACAAGCUAUUGUGGAUGGGUUAAGAGACAUCGAAAUGGCGAAAAAAUAUGGAAGAAUUGGUGAAAAACAUCGGAAAGAAGUAAACAAAGCUUUCGUAUUAGAAUGUUGGAUUAGUUUUGAAUCAAAAAACUUGCUCUUAAUUAGGAUUUUUUGUGUGUUUUAGAACUUUUGGAAUGUUUUAGAAUCUUGCUUGUUGCAAAUG